AUGGUGCGUAUCUCGAAUGUCAAAACGACUCUCGGCAACGGAUAUCUCGGCUCUCGCAUCGAUGAAGAACGUAGCGAAAUGCGAUACUUGGUGUGAAUUGCAGAAUCCCGUGAACCAUCGAGUCUUUGAACGCAAGUUGCGCCCGAAGCCUUCGGGCCGAGGGCACGCCUGCCUGGGCG
rnacentral:rRNA from 1 species